rnacentral:tRNA from 1 species
GCCUGGGUAGCUCAGUUGAGCACCUGACUUCAGCUCAGGUCAUGAUCUCGCGGUUCGUGAGUUUGAGCCCUGCCUUGGGCU